CUUUUUAAUACUUUCUGCUGCUUCAGGAGUUGCAGGGCUGCGUGUUUCUGCACUUGUGUUCCUGUUUAUUUCAGUCUCUGCAGCAGGGACCAGCACACACAAGUUCCGGAUGGGACCAUGGUUUCGUUUUUAAGAGCUGAGCACUGUGGCGCAACUUCCCCUUUGUGUGUUUUGUGCUGCCCUGCAUGGGAGACCUCCUAGCCUGGGCUCAGCCCUCACCUCCAGAAAUUGCAUCCUUACUGCUGGGACAAGGUCUUGGAAGAGCUUCUGGAGAGUUACUGAAGGAGAGAAUAUUUACCAGGAGUGAUUAAAGACAAUGGAUCCAGACUUUUUAAAUGCAUUUACACAGCCUUCUACACUUGAUCGAUUCCUAACUGAAGAUGUCAUCGCUAAAGGCGAGAAGAGGAAACUCAUAAAACCAACCUCAAGCAACAACCCCAAACUGAAAGAAUUGAAAUUGGUACCACUUCUUUUACUGCAUUGUUUAACCCUCACCUCGAGUUGUGCUAAAGCAAACAAAGAACCUGGUUCAUUACCCUCUUUUAGCC
rnacentral:lncRNA from 1 species